rnacentral:miRNA from 14 species
CCUAAUGAAGAAGCAGAAGACACAGUUUCCACUGGAAAAUCAGACAAUCACCUUUUGUUAUGUGGAAGUAUGCACAGAAUUUCCAAUUCUGCAUGAGUUAGAGCAUUUUGAGAAGAAUUUUUGUUUCAUUAUUUAAGAUUGUAUAUAAGGAAAACAUAAAAUUAUGAACAGUUAUCUAAAAGUCUAAAGUAACAUC